AAACGAGACAUCAAUAAACAUUUCUAAAAGGUCUGAAUGAAAAAAAAAAAGACGACUUAGGAUUUAGAAGGACAAGUGUAGCCACUGUUAUAGAUAUUUUAAUUUAUACCUGUAAGCAACGAUAAACCAUUGCUUACGAAAAAUCGAUUCUGAGCAGAGUUCAGUUGAUAGUGAUGUUUUGUCAACAAUGUAUAUGUUUCCUCAAUAUAUAUGACUUCUC